AAGUCGUAACAAGGUUUCCGUAGGUGAACCUGCGGAAGGAUCAUUAACGAGUUUUGAAACGGGUUGUAGCUGGCCUUCCGAGGCAUGUGCACGCCCUGCUCAUCCACUCUACCCCUGUGCACUUACUGUAGGUUUCGAGUUUGAUGAGUGUCGUCCGCGGCGCUUGGAUUCUCGGGGCUUACGUUUAUUACAAACUAUUUAAAGUAUCAGAAUGUGUAUUGCGAUAUAACGCAUCUAUAUACAACUUUCAGCAACGGAUCUCUUGGCUCUC
rnacentral:misc_RNA from 1 species